rnacentral:rRNA from 1 species
GGCCUAACACAUGCAAGUCGAGCGGUAGCACAGAGAGCUUGCUCUCGGGUGACGAGCGGCGGACGGGUGAGUAAUGUCUGGGAAACUGCCUGAUGGAGGGGGAUAACUACUGGAAACGGUAGCUAAUACCGCAUAAUGUCGCAAGACCAAAGUGGGGGACCUUCGGGCCUCAUGCCAUCAGAUGUGCCCAGAUGGGAUUAGCUAGUAGGUGGGGUAACGGCUCACCUAGGCGACGAUCCCUAGCUGGUCUGAGAGGAUGACCAGCCACACUGGAACUGAGACACGGUCCAGACUCCUACGGGAGGCAGCAGUGGGGAAUAUUGCACAAUGGGCGCAAGCCUGAUGCAGCCAUGCCGCGUGUGUGAAGAAGGCCUUCGGGUUGUAAAGCACUUUCAGCGGGGAGGAAGGCGGUGAGGUUAAUAACCUUGUCGAUUGACGUUACCCGCAGAAGAAGCACCGGCUAACUCCGUGCCAGCAGCCGCGGUAAUACGGAGGGUGCAAGCGUUAAUCGGAAUUACUGGGCGUAAAGCGCACGCAGGCGGUCUGUCAAGUCGGAUGUGAAAUCCCCGGGCUCAACCUGGGAACUGCAUUCGAAACUGGCAGGCUAGAGUCUUGUAGAGGGGGGUAGAAUUCCAGGUGUAGCGGUGAAAUGCGUAGAGAUCUGGAGGAAUACCGGUGGCGAAGGCGGCCCCCUGGACAAAGACUGACGCUCAGGUGCGAAAGCGUGGGGAGCAAACAGGAUUAGAUACCCUGGUAGUCCACGCCGUAAACGAUGUCGAUUUGGAGGUUGUGCCCUUGAGGCGUGGCUUCCGGAGCUAACGCGUUAAAUCGACCGCCUGGGGAGUACGGCCGCAAGGUUAAAACUCAAAUGAAUUGACGGGGGCCCGCACAAGCGGUGGAGCAUGUGGUUUAAUUCGAUGCAACGCGAAGAACCUUACCUGGUCUUGACAUCCACAGAACUUUCCAGAGAUGGAUUGGUGCCUUCGGGAACUGUGAGACAGGUGCUGCAUGGCUGUCGUCAGCUCGUGUUGUGAAAUGUUGGGUUAAGUCCCGCAACGAGCGCAACCCUUAUCCUUUGUUGCCAGCGGUUAGGCCGGGAACUCAAAGGAGACUGCCAGUGAUAAACUGGAGGAAGGUGGGGAUGACGUCAAGUCAUCAUGGCCCUUACGACCAGGGCUACACACGUGCUACAAUGGCAUAUACAAAGAGAAGCGACCUCGCGAGAGCAAGCGGACCUCAUAAAGUAUGUCGUAGUCCGGAUUGGAGUCUGCAACUCGACUCCAUGAAGUCGGAAUCGCUAGUAAUCGUAGAUCAGAAUGCUACGGUGAAUACGUUCCCGGGCCUUGUACACACCGCCCGUCACACCAUGGGAGUGGGUUGCAAAAGAAGUAGGUAGCUUAACCUUCGGGAGGGCGCUUACCACUUUGUGA